ensembl:lncRNA
UGUAAUCAUCUAGAGACAGUUUUAGGGUUUAAAUUAAGUUACAGGUGAUAUAUUCGGUGUUUAAAUAUUUUCUCCUAUCCCUGAGUAAUAUGUACACUAUAGUAACUAAGCAGAAGUUGUUCUUAUUUUGGUUGUACCCAAGUGCAAGUGGUUGUUUGGCAUCGUAUCAUACUAUAUUGUGUGUUUUGGCAUGGAAACGUAAAAAAAAAAAAUCCAUAUUAAAUGCACGGUUGAAGGUUUAAGAACUUUGCACAAAAGUGUAGGGCGUCAGCUAGUGUUUCACAACUGUAGAUAAGUGUUACUCUUGAUUGAUUCUCAUGCAGUGAAUCAUUUUCACCCUUCUACUUGCCCAAGCUUGCUUCAACUAAGGAAGCUGUCGUGUGAAAACACCCUUAGUUGCCUCAGACAGGUGACCUUCACAUUGCAUUACUGGUUGAUAGCCCCAUUGACCCUAAGUUCCUUUGAGGACUCUUCCUGUUACGAGAAGGGUCUUGCAGGCAGAUGUCCAGAUUUUAAGACAAGGUUGUCCUUGUCCUGGAGAGAAGUCACAAUUAAUCAAGAUUACAGGUGGAAAUGCAUCCCAACAGCAGGAGGUGCUUCUUUCCAUUGCACACCAGCCAAACCAGCUCACCACAUUCAUUCAUCAUGCCUGAGCACUGACCCCAUGUCUUGAGGGCAAAAAUGGUCCAGACCGAGGGAGACAAUGAAGAUGGGAGAGACAAAGAUGGCAAACUAGAUUAUGAAACGCAAACACUGGGGUCAUGCAGGGUUUUCCUGCAGACAGGGACAUUAAUAAACCUGAAACUGCACUGAGCUCUGAUGAUGAG